rnacentral:rRNA from 1 species
GACAGAGGGUGCAAACGUUGUUCGGAAUUACUGGGCGUAAAGCGCGUGUAGGCGGCUCGGAAAGUCGGGUGUGAAAGCCCUGGGCUUAACCCAGGAAGUGCACUCGAAACUUCCGAGCUGGAGUCCUGGAGAGGAAGGCGGAAUUCUCGGUGUAGAGGUGAAAUUCGUAGAUAUCGAGAGGAACACCGGUGGCGAAGGCGGCCUUCUGGACAGUGACUGACGCUGAGACGCGAAAGCGUGGGGAGCAAACAGGAUUAGAUACCCCCGUAGUCC